rnacentral:rRNA from 1 species
CCUACGGGGGGCAGCAGUGAGGAAUAUUGGUCAAUGGGCGCUAGCCUGAACCAGCCAAGUAGCGUGAAGGAUGACUGCCCUAUGGGUGGUAAACUUCUUUUAUAUGGGAAUAAAGUGCAGUAUGUAUACUGCUUUGCAUGUACCUUAUGAUUAAAGAUCGGCUAACUCCGGGCCAGCAGCCGCGGUAAUACGGAGGGUCCGAGCGUUAUGCGGAUUUAUUUGGUUGAAAGGGAGCGUAGGCGGGUUGGUAAGUCAGUUGUGAAAGUUUGCGGCUCAACCGUAAAAUUGCAGUUGAUACUGGCAUCCUUGAGUGCAGGAGAGGUAGGCGGAAUUCGUGGUGUAGCGGUGAAAUGCGUAGAUAUCACGAAGAACUCCAGUGGCGAAGGCAGCCUGCUGGACUGUAACUGACGCUGAUGCUCGAAAGUGUGGGUAGCAAACAGGAUUAGAUACCCUUGUAGUC